rnacentral:rRNA from 1 species
GUGGGGAAUCUUGCGCAAUGGGCGAAAGCCUGACGCAGCCAUGCCGCGUGAAUGAUGAAGGUCUUAGGAUUGUAAAAUUCUUUCACCGGGGACGAUAAUGACGGUACCCGGAGAAGAAGCUCCGGCUAACUUCGUGCCAGCAGCCGCGGUAAUACGAAGGGGGCUAGCGUUGCUCGGAAUUACUGGGCGUAAAGGGCGCGUAGGCGGACAGCUUAGUCAGAGGUGAAAGCCCAGGGCUCAACCUUGGAAUUGCCUUUGAUACUGGCUGUCUUGAGUUUGGGAGAGGUGAGUGGAACUCCGAGUGUAGAGGUGAAAUUCGUAGAUAUUCGGAAGAACACCAGUGGCGAAGGCGACUCACUGGCCCAAUACUGACGCUGAGGCGCGAAAGCGUGGGGAGCAAACAGGAUUAGAUACCCCGGUAGUCC